UUUAGAUGGCGACCGGCGCACGGGUGAGUAACACGUAUCCAACCUGCCGAUGACUCGGGGAUAGCCUUUCGAAAGAAAGAUUAAUACCCGAUGGCAUAGUUCUCCCGCAUGGUGGAACUAUUAAAGAAUUUCGGUCAUCGAUGGGGAUGCGUUCCAUUAGGUUGUUGGCGGGGUAACGGCCCACCAAGCCUUCGAUGGAUAGGGGUUCUGAGAGGAAGGUCCCCCACAUUGGAACUGAGACACGGUCCAAACUCCUACGGAGCAGCAUG
rnacentral:rRNA from 1 species